rnacentral:rRNA from 1 species
GACGAACGCUGGCGGCGUGCUUAACACAUGCAAGUCGAACGGAAAGGCCCUGCUUUUGUGGGGUGCUCGAGUGGCGAACGGGUGAGUAACACGUGAGUAACCUGCCCUUGACUUUGGGAUAACUUCAGGAAACUGGGGCUAAUACCGGAUAGGAGCUCCUGCUGCAUGGUGGGGGUUGGAAAGUUUCGGCGGUUGGGGAUGGACUCGCGGCUUAUCAGCUUGUUGGUGGGGUAGUGGCUUACCAAGGCUUUGACGGGUAGCCGGCCUGAGAGGGUGACCGGCCACAUUGGGACUACGAUACGGCCCAGACUCCUACGGGAGGCAGCAGUGGGGAAUAUUGCACAAUGGGCGGAAGCCUGAUGCAGCAUCGCCGCGUGCGGGAUGACGGCCUUCGGGUUGUAAACCGCUUUCGCCUGUGACGAAGCGUGAGUGACGGUAAUGGGUAAAGAAGCACCGGCUAACUACGUG